CACAACCAGAGUCUCCAUGUGGUAGAAAACCCUAUGGCCCAUCUUUUCUUCAUACUAAAUAAGUCAGUGACCACUUAUUUCAUUUUAUCCCACGUACUUCGCCUCUCAAGUGGGUAGUUUGCACUUUCGUGAUGUGAAGAGGCUAUAACCAUUCUGCAUGUAGUUUUUUGAAGAGCUUAUGCAAUCAAUAUAACCAUGUUGAUGGUAGAGAACUGAGCCACAGCGACCUCUCACCCGGCCAACAUGAGAAAGCUGACCUGUGCAGGAGGAGCAGCACCUCCCCCACGUCCACAGCAGGACAAUAUUUGGUUUAUUUUGUGUUCAUACUGUAAUUCUACAACUCUUUCCUGUGGACAAAUCUGGUACAGUGUGGAGAACACUUUGAAAUAAGAUGAAAUUGUAUAACCCUAAGUGUGCUGUAACCCUAAAAGUGUGCUGUGACUUUAAGAGUGCUGUAGCC
rnacentral:lncRNA from 1 species